rnacentral:antisense_RNA from 1 species
CUUGAGGGAGCCCAGCCACAGCGGCCGGUCAGCGGGGCGGUCCUGGCCGUACGUGGCCAGCAGCGCCGAGGCCUC